rnacentral:rRNA from 1 species
GACGAACCGUACGAACGUUAUUCGGAAUCACUGGGCUUAAAGGGUGCGUAGGCGGCGCGACAAGUUGGGUGUGAAAUCCCUCGGCUCAACCGAGGAGCUGCGCCCAAAACUGUCGUGCUCGAGGGAGACAGAGGUGAGCGGAACUUAGGGUGGAGCGGUGAAAUGCGUUGAUAUCCUAAGGAACACCGGUGGCGAAAGCGGCUCACUGGGUCUCUUCUGACGCUGAGGCACGAAAGCUAGGGUAGCGAACGGG